CGUCUCUGGUAAUGCUAUGUACUACAACGUGCAAUCAGACAAAACAUUUCAGAUUUUAAAAUAAAAUGGCCAAUAGAGUACGAAAAUUGGCAGUUUAUGUACACGAUUCGGUUAGUAAAUCUUUGUUCAAUUUUCAAAUAGAUUUCAAGCAGAUACUUUCAGAAUUCAGGUGUGAUGCGAUGAACUAAGGGAGAAAAACGGACUUUUCGUCUUUAGAAUCAAGUUACGAAUUCUGAAUUUGUGGUUACGAACGGCUACGCAUUGGUUACUAACUAAUGAUAUAAAUUUUUGUGGACAAUUCGGACAUAGGGAUGGUAGGGUAGUGUACCUACAUUUAUGUUAACAUUUUUUGUAGACAUGAUAUUUUACUUUUAUUUUUCCAUGUUUGUGUUGCGGUCUGUGCCGAGUGGAUUGAACACAUGUCACACGUGUGUAUUACGUGGAUACAAUGUAUCAAGAUACCUAUUGUUUAGAUCAUUUAGGCCAUAGACGUAUUGAAUGUAGUGUAGGUAAUUGUUUAUUUAUCAUUUACACACCUGAAUAAUUUCACGAAAUGUUUUUGUGAACUGUGUUAAUAUUUUGUCAUUGAUAGUCAGAUAAUAAAAGAGUUUUGUAAGCAUUACCUACUAUGUAAUGGAAUUAUAAGAAAAAACGUUCAAAGCAAUAUUUCAUUAUUUUUUAUUUAUUUUGUAACAUCAGUUGUGUAUUGUAUAAUUGAACUUUUAUAAACGAUCCCAAUCAUGGUUCGUUGUAGUAAUUACAUUAUUAUAUAUGUGGUGUCUAUUAUACUUUGUAUUACAUUAAUUUGUGAAGGGCAUUUAAAUCCGGGUAAUGGUUUUCACUAAUAAAAAUGAACUAAAUUAUCCUUAUUUAUAGGAGAAAAUACAACGGACCAGCAACCCCCAAAAAGUUGUUUAUGGCCGAGUAAGAAGCAUCACCUACAUUUGCAUUAUAACACAUUAUAGGAUAAUAUUUAAACCUAUUGAAGUGUAUUACAAGUCAUCCUUCAUAAAUAAUAAAUAUAAUAUUAGCAUUAUGAACUUUUAUUUUAAUAUCAUUCAUCAACUAUUUAUACAUCAGUGAUCAGUCGUAAAAUUGGGUGGAAAAUAGUUUUAUUGAAGUAUAAAAUAAAGUGAUGUUGUCCUGGUUACAAUUGGUCACAAGAAUCAUGGCUUAAAUAUACAAGGUUAUUGCACAUAGCCAAAUUUUUAUCAAAUAAAAAUAAUAAUACAGCGUAAGGGUACGGUCCAUAUCAUAGCAUACAGGGCCGGCUCUAGC